CAGCUCAUGGAAAGCCUGUGUAUCUAGUCCAGUGUCGGGCUCAGAUGAGCUCCUAGCCAACAGACAGCAUCCUCUGCCAGUUAAACCAGUAAGGGAUCAUCUAACCAACCCGAGCCUUGAGAUCACUAUGGCCUCAACUAGCAAUUGGCUGCAAAGGAUCAAACACAUUGUGGCAGUAACAGUAUGUAAAUUACAUACAUGAUCCUGAGAAUGAUCAGAAAGAUUCUGCAGUCACAUUUGGUUAAGCAAUAUGACACCUUCAGGAACUUGUGGGGCUUCAAUACUUCCUGUCUUCCUAGCCACCCAAGAUAAAUGAAAUAUGACACUUCAUUCCUUUUGCACCCACUUCGGCAGGCCUUCCGACUCUCAGCAUGGAUUUUGCACCAAUCCUGCUAAUUCCCCGAAUUACCUGCCGCUCACUGUAUGUCGUCAGUGUGAAGAGAGGCUUCUG